AGACGGAUGACUUUGGAGACAUAGACUCGGGGGCUGCUAGAAAUCCAGCCCGGAUGGACUGCUUGCCCAGUCAAGUAACCCAGGCAGAAGCAGGCAGAGCCCACAAAUCACUUCUCUGUCCUUCAGAAAGGGUCUCCCACUGAAUGGAGAAUUCCCUGCCAAUCCUCCAAUCCGUGCCUUCCCGGUGCUGGGAUUAUAGGCUAGUAUCACCUAGCCUGGCUUAUGUGGAUACUGGAGAAACAAACCUAACUCUCCGUCCCUUUGCAUCAGGAACUUGACCCACAGAGCAACCUUCCUGACCUGUAACCAGCUCUUGGAAAUUACUAUUCUACCGACUGCUCCUGUAAGCGCAUAUUUUUUGAUUCCCCAUGUAAGAGAGAUCAGAAGUGUUUUUCUUUCUGUGUCUUGUUUACUUUGCUCAAAUUAUUGUCCUCGG